rnacentral:rRNA from 1 species
UGGGGAAUAUUGGACAAUGGGCGAAAGCCUGAUCCAGCCAUGUCGCGUGUGUGAAGAAGGUCUUCGGAUUGUAAAGCACUUUAAGUUGGGAGGAAGGGCAUUAACCUAAUACGUUAGUGUUUUGACGUUACCGACAGAAUAAGCACCGGCUAACUCUGUGCCAGCAGCCGCGGUAAUACAGAGGGUGCAAGCGUUAAUCGGAAUUACUGGGCGUAAAGUGCGCGUAGGUGGUUUGUUAAGUUGGAUGUGAAAUCCCCGGGCUCAACCUGGGAACUGCAUUCAAAACUGACUGACUAGAGUAUGGUAGAGGGUGGUGGAAUUUCCUGUGUAGCGGUGAAAUGCGUAGAUAUAGGAAGGAACACCAGUGGCGAAGGCGACCACCUGGACUAAUACUGACACUGAGGUGCGAAAGCGUGGGGAGCAAACA